AAAUUGAAGAGUUUGAUCAUGGCUCAGAUUGAACGCUGGCGGCAGGCCUAACACAUGCAAGUCGAACGGUAACAGGAAGCAGCUUGCUGCUUCGCUGACGAGUGGCGGACGGGUGAGUAAUGUCUGGGAAACUGCCUGAUGGAGGGGGAUAACUACUGGAAACGGUGGCUAAUACCGCAUAACGUCGCAAGACCAAAGAGGGGGACCUUCGGGCCUCUUGCCAUCAGAUGUGCCCAGAUGGGAUUAGCUUGUUGGUGAGGUAACGGCUCACCAAGGCGACGAUCCCUAGCUGGUCUGAGAGGAUGACCAGCCACACUGGAACUGAGACACGGUUCAGACUCCUACGGGAGGCAGCAGUGGGGAAUAUUGCACAAUGGGCGCAAGCCUGAUGCAGCCAUGCCGCGUGUAUGAAGAAGGCCUUCGGGUUGUAAAGUACUUUCAGCGGGGAGGAAGGUGUUGUGGUUAAUAACCACAGCAAUUGACGUUACCCGCAGAAGAAGCACCGGCUAACUCCGUGCCAGCAGCCGCGGUAAUACGGAGGGUGCAAGCGUUAAUCGGAAUUACUGGGCGUAAAGCGCACGCAGGCGGUCUGUCAAGUCGGAUGUGAAAUCCCCGGGCUCAAC
rnacentral:rRNA from 1 species